rnacentral:rRNA from 1 species
UAUGUAGGUCCCGAGCGUUGUCCGGAUUUAUUGGGCGUAAAGCGAGCGCAGGUGGUUUAUUAAGUCUGGUGUAAAAGGCAGUGACUCAACCAUUGUAUGCAUUGGAAACUGGUAGACUUGAGUGCAGGAGAGGAGAGUGGAAUUCCAUGUGUAGCGGUGAAAUGCGUAGAUAUAUGGAGGAACACCGGUGGCGAAAGCGGCUCUCUGGCCUGUAACUGACACUGAGGCUCGAAAGCGUGGGGAGCAAACAGG